AAUGUCACUAUUAGUAAAAUACUAGUAUGGCCUCAGUUUAUUAUAAGUAUAACAUAAGUGUAAUUAAAAUGUAAUUUAGUUGCAAUUGUAAUGUUACCAAAAUAAAUUUCAAGUGCACAUUGAAUGUUCUGUUCUGUAUAUUGUCCAAAAUUAGGGUAGAUACUUAAGUUGUACUUAAGUAUACUUUGAAUAGUUCCACUUUAGCACAAAAAAGUAUAUUUAACACAAUUUAAGUUGGACCCCAGCACUACUUUCACACAACUAAAGUGCAUUAAGUACAAAAUGAGUUGUUCCAAUUUAGCAGACUUGAAGUAUACCAAUAUAUAGUGUUCAACAAAUACAUUUAGUUAUACUAAAGUACAUGUGAAUAAAUUGUACUUAAGUAUACUAUUUUUUCACUAGGGUUAUAUUCUAUUAAAAAACAGAAAAAGAUCUGCACACUGUAAAAAGUCCCUUUUAUUUCAAAAGUUUAAAAAGCAACGUUUCGGUCAAAGACCUUCGUCAGGCAAACACACAAACACACAAGCAAGGAUCAUUGUUAAACAAGAAUUCACAGGUACAAACAGUUUCAAUUAAUGACACCUGAUAACAAUCAAGUUCAAUCAGGUAAGCAACUAAAGUAUAAUCACAUUAAAGCAACACCUCAAAACAUCAUAUAACAACACCCAAACAUUCUCCUUUCAUCUUCCUGAUACACUUUUCAAAUCAUAAGAUUGAUCAAUACCCAAUCAUAUGAAAAACAAUACACUUCAAAUACAAAACAACACCACUUGAAUAAAACUCACUCUUAAAGGUAGGGUAACACAUUUUGAAAAAUGCUAACGGUAGCCGCCUAGCAAUGAAAUCCCGAUCCCACCCUCAAGUCAAAUCGCCAUCCAAAGUCACGCCUCUUUCAAAACACAUGAACAUGCACAGAUCAGACGAUCACAUCUAUAGAGAUAGAUUAAUCUCUUUAAUAAUUCACGCAAAAAACAUGAUUCACACAUGCGUAGACAAUUUCACAUGCAUGAAAUCUAAUUCACAUACACAAAAAUAUAAAUAUUCGCAAAAAAACGAUGUACAUACACAAAAUAAAAAUUCAUAUUCAUAAAAUACGUUUCACAAACGAAAAAAACGUUUCACAAAUGUAGAACUGUGUACGAAAAGUUUUAAAUUGUGAGUUUAUCAUGACUGUGAAUGUACGAAUCGUCUUUUUCGUGUGUGAAUUGCUUUGAAUUCGAGUGUGUGUUUUUUGAGACUUUGGUGGCAGCGUGCUUCUCCAACGUGGGUCACUCGUAUUCUUUAGCCAAUCAGAUGCAAGCUUACCAUUCAACCAAUCAUAACCCGCCAAGAGCGCAGCACUCAAGGAGCUUAGCAUUGCACACCUUUUGCGCAAUCAACUGAAAUGAAGCUUCACGUCAUCAACCAUGCAUGGCGAACAAAGUGCGGGAUAUACGUGACUCUCGUCGUGUAAUACUGUCACAGAGCAGUUGUUCUUGUGUUGCUGGGACAGCACAUUGUUGCACUACUCAGAGCUUGGCAUCAGUGAAGUUCACAGCUGUACUGAAACGGUUGAGAGCUGACACAGACCUAGAACAAUGAGGUUCUGUCUGCAAGACCCAAAGAAAGGAAGCUUGCUAAUGUAUUAAGGAGUACCUUUUAAAAGAGUGUCACCUGUAAGCUGUCUGACCUCACAGUCCUCCAAGUAGCAGAGGCGUUUAAGGACCUUGCCAGUGCUGUAGCCCCUUCGGUCACCACUAUCAGGAUGUCACAUGUCAAUUCUUUGGUGGAUUUUGGCUUUGGCAGAGUUUAGUAUGGAAGUGUGUUGUCAUACCAGCAGCAACAACACGCAACCUUAAUCGCUAUCAAGAUGCCCCAUAACUACAACCUCUGCAACUAUUUGGCUACAGCCUUGACACAUCUGUUUGCUUGAUAGUUAUUUAUAUUUACAUGUUUACAUUUCUGAAGUGUAGGCAGUUAUUUACAGUAUAUUACAUACAUACAUACAUUACUGCAAUGUUAAUGUUCAAAGUCAUUUAGUUUUACAUUCAUGCAGUGCAUGCUACACUGUAUGGAAGUUAUUUACAGUAUAUUUACAUUCAUUACUGCAUUGCAAAUGUUCAAAGUCAUUUAUAUUUACAUGUUUACAUUCCUGCAGUGCAUGCAACACUAAAUAAAAGUUAUUUACAGUAUAUUUAAAUACAUUACUGCAUUGCAAAUGUGUAAAGUCAUUAUUUACAUUCCUGCAGUGCAGGCAACACUGAAUAAAAGUUGAUUAUAUACAUGUCAAUAAUAUUUAUACCUGAACAAAACUAAAUGCAAUACUUGGUUCACUGGAUAAGGCAACGUCCUUUCAAAGCCAGCGACACACUUUAAGGCUCAAUAGCACGAUCAAAUCAUCACUUUUAAAAUGACUGCAGAUCCGUGUAUGAGAAGUGAUGUUAAAUCGCUCGCGCCGAAUGUUGUGAAUCCAUUUUCUGCGUGUUUUUCGUCCACAAAAAACAUUUGGAAACUCAUACAGAGUUGAACUUUGAGGAGUCCUCACAUAACUGGACACAGCAAUGUUCAGCUUAACUACUUUCUUUCCGCUGUUGAUAUUUAAACUUUCUGGAAGCCAUUACUAUAAUGGUUAACUAUAUAAUGCUAUAAAUAUACUUUAGUUAUAAAUCGCUCUCAAAUAAAUUUUAUGAAAGCAUUUUGCUGCUAGUACACUCAGAUACAAAAUGCGCUAAGUAAAUACGUUCAUA